GCCUCUAAGCAUCAGGUAACAUUAAAUCGUACCCCAAACCGACACAGGUGGUCAGGUAGAGAAUACCAAGGCGCUUGAGAGAACUCGGGUGAAGGAACUAGGCAAAAUGGUGCCGUAACUUCGGGAGAAGGCACGCUGAUAUGUAGGUGAAGCGACUUGCUCGUGGAGCUGAAAUCAGUCGAAGAUACCAGCUGGCUGCAACUGUUUAUUAAAAACACAGCACUGUGCAAACACGAAAGUGGACGUAUACGGUGUGACGCCUGCCCGGUGCCGGAAG
rnacentral:rRNA from 1 species